AGUGAACGCUGGCGGCAGGCCUAACACAUGCAAGUCGAGCGGCAGCGCGGGGCAACCUGGCGGCGAGCGGCGGACGGGUGAGGAAUACGUCGGAAUCUGCCUUUUUGUGGGGGAUAACGUAGGGAAACUUACGCUAAUACCGCAUACGACCUACGGGUGAAAGUGGGGGACCGCAAGGCCUCACGCAGAAAGAUGAGCCGACGUCCGAUUAGCUAGUUGGUGAGGUAAUGGCUCACCAAGGCGACGAUCGGUAGCUGGGCUGAGAGGAUGAUCAGGCCCACUGGGACUGAGACACGGCCCAGACUCCUACGGGAGGCAGCAGUGGGGAAUAUUGGACAAUGGGCGCAAGCCUGAUCCAGCCAUGCCGCGUGUGUGAAGAAGGCCUUCGGGUUGUAAAGCACUUUUGUCCGGAAAGAAAUCCUGAAGAUUAAUACUCUUUGGGGAUGACGGUACCGGAAGAAUAAGCACCGGCUAACUUCGUGCCAGCCGCCGCGGUAA
rnacentral:rRNA from 1 species